CAGCCGCUCCCGCUCCAGCAUUCGAAAACAAAACGAGGGUCGUGAAAUCUACGCCAACACGACGGUUUCGCUCUUCUCCUUCACCACCAACACCAAGCUUCUUAGCUUAUUCUUCUCCAAUGUCGAAUUUCAUGGCGGCGCCCAAUCAGAACACCAACCCCAACAAGUCCUUCGAGGUGGGUGAAGCUCCAAACGACUCCAUUUCGAGCCUCAGCUUCAGCCCCAAAGCCAACCACCUCAUCGCCACCUCCUGGGACAACCAGGUUCGAUGCUGGGAGAUACAUCACAGUGGACAAAAUCUUCAUAGUGCCCCCAAGGGAAUGAUCUCGCAUGACCAUCCGGCUUUGUGCUCGGCUUGGAAGGAUGAUGGGGCAACUGUCUUCUCUGGAGGCUGUGACAAGCAAGCUAAGAUGUGGUCCUUAGCUACUAACCAAACAAUGACAGUUGCUGCUCAUGAGGGCCCCAUUAAAGAGAUGGCUUGGAUCUCCGAGUUGCAGCUCUUAGUCACCGGAAGCUUGGACAAGACUCUAAAGUAUUGGGAUACCAGGCAACAAAACCCAGUGCACACCCAACAACUUCCAGAACGCUGCUAUGCGCUAUCAGUGAACAAGGAUCUAUUGGUUGUUGGGACGGCAGAUAGAAAUAUUAUUAUUUUUAAACUGCAGAACCCCGGGAAUGAGUUCAAGAGAAUUGUUUCACCCCUAAAGUUUCAGACAAGGUGUGUUGCUGCAUUUCCUGAUCAGCAAGGAUUCUUAGUCGGAUCUAUUGAGGGGAGGGUUGGUGUGCAUCAUCUGGAGGAGCACCAAUCAACUAAAAACUUCACCUUCAAAUGCCACAGGGAGGGCAAUGAGAUAUACUCUGUCAACUCUCUGAAUUUCCAUCCUGUGCACCACACAUUUGCUACUGCUGGCUCUGAUGGUUCUUUCAAUUUUUGGGUACAAGGACAGCAAACAAAGACUUAAGGCAAUGCAAAGGUGCAGUCAGCCUAUACCUUGCAGUACAUUCAAUCAAGAUGGUUCCAUAUAUGCAUAUGCGGUUUGCUAUGAUUGGAGCAAGGGUGCAGAAAAUCAUAAUCCUACUACAGCAAAGAAUCACAUUUUUCUCCAUUUGCCACAGGAAUCUGAGGUGAAAGCCAAGCCGCGAGUUUCAACUGGAAGAAAGUGAAGGGCAGUCAUGCCUGUUUUGCUACGAGCUCUUUUCGUAUAUAUUUAUCACCUUUCAGUUUCCAAUGCGUGAUCAAGGCUGAUGGAGGUGGUCCCUCUGAGUAGACAUUUUGGUAGUAGGGGUCUCUCCUGUGUUAUUCCUUGUGAACUCUUAUUGAUAUUAUAUUUUUUCAAGGACCUGUGCUUAUCAUCUUUGUUAAGUUCUGAAGAACUGAUUCACCGUUGGUGUUCUGAGUACUCAGAUAGUGUUUCAAUAAUUUAUGAGAUGUAUCAUAAGGUGCUUUUACGGGAUAGAUUUUUGAGGGAGAAUGCAUAAGAUGAUUAAAGGACUUUGAUUAUUACUAAA